rnacentral:rRNA from 1 species
AUUGAACGCUGGCGGCAGGCUUAACACAUGCAAGUCGAGCGAGCGGCGGACGGGUGAGUAAUGUCUGGGAAACUGCCUGAUGGAGGGGGAUAACUACUGGAAACGGUAGCUAAUACCGCAUACCAUCAGAUGUGCCCAGAUGGGAUUAGCUAUUAGGUGGGGUAAUGGCUCACCUAGGCGAAGAUCCCUAGCUGGUCUGAGAGGAUGACCAGCCACACUGUAACUGAGACACGGUCCAGACUCCGACGGGAGGAAGCAGUGGGUAAUAUUGCACAAUGGGCGCAAGCCUGAUGCAGCCAUGCCGCGUGGGUGAAGAAGGCCUUCGGGUUGUAAAGCACUUUCAGCGAGGAGUCGUUACUCGCAGAAGAAGCACCGGCUAACUCCGGGCCAGCAGCCGCGGUAAUAC